UAGCAGAGGUCCCAAGCUGUUGUUCGGAUUCACUGGGCGUAAAGGGUGCGUAGGUGGCCGGUUAAGUCUGACGUGAAAUCUCCGAAGCCUAACUCGGAAACUGCAUCGGAAACUAUCCGGCUCGAGGGUUGGAGGGGGGACUGGAAUACUUGGUGUACAGUGAAAUGCGUAGAUAUCAAAGUGGAACACCAGUGGCGAAGGCGAGUCCCUGGAACAACUCCUGAGCCACUUGAGGCACGAAAGCUAGGGGAGCAAACAGG
rnacentral:rRNA from 1 species